GACGAACGCUGGCGGCGUGCUUAACACAUGCAAGUCGAACGAGUGGCGAACGGGUGAGUAAUACGUGAGUAACCUGCCCUCUUCUUUGGGAUAAGCCUUGGAAACGGGGUCUAAUACUGGAUAUUGAAAGCGGUGGGGGAUGGGCUCGCGGCCUAUCAGCUUGUUGGUGGGGUGAUGGCCUACCAAGGCGUCGACGGGUAGCCGGCCUGAGAGGGUGACCGGCCACACUGGGACUGAGAUACGGCCCAGACUCCUACGGGAGGCAGCAGUGGGGGAUAUUGCACAAUGGGCGCAAGCCUGAUGCAGCGACGCCGCGUGGGGGAUGACGGCUUUCGGGUUGUAAACCUCUUUCGUCGGGGGACAUGAGGGUACCCGGUGAAGAAGCGCCGGCUAACUACGUGCCAGCAGCCGCGGUAAUACGUAGGGCGCGAGCGUUGUCCGGAAUUAUUGGGCGUAAAGGGCUCGUAGGCGGCUUGUCGCGUCUGCUGUGAAAAUGCGGGGCUUAACUCCGUACGUGCAGUGGGUACGGGCAGGCUAGAGUGCGGUAGGGGUGACUGGAAUUCCUGGUGUAGCGGUGGAAUGCGCAGAUAUCAGGAGGAACACCGAUGGCGAAGGCAGGUCACUGGGCUGACUGACGCUGAGGAGCGAAAGCGUGGGGAGCGAACAGGAUUAGAUACCCUGGUAGUCCAUGCUGUAAACGUUGGGAACUAGGUGUGGGGUAUUCUGCGCCGGAGCUAACGCAUUAAGUUCCCCGCCUGGGGAGUACGGCCGCAAGGCUAAAACUCAAAGGGAUUGACGGGGGCCCGCACAAGCGGCGGAGCAUGCGGAUUAAUUCGAUGCAACGCGAAGAACCUUACCAAGGCUUGACAUAUACAGGUGGUGCAUGGUUGUCGUCAGCUCGUGUCGUGAGAUGUUGGGUUAAGUCCCGCAACGAGCGCAACCCUUGUCUCGUGUUGCCAGCAGCUGGGGACUCACGGGAGACUGCCGGGGUUAACUCGGAGGAAGGUGGGGAUGACGUCAAAUCAUCAUGCCCCUUAUGUCUUGGGCUUCACGCAUGCUACAAUGGCCGGCAGAGGGUUGCGAUAUCGUGAGGUGGAGCGAAUCCCUUUCGGUCUCAGUUCGGACGGGGUCUGCAACUCGACCCCGGAAGUCGGAGUCGCUAGUAAUCGCGGAUCAGCAACGCCGCGGUGAAUACGUUCUCGGGCCUUGUACACACCGCCCGUCACGUCACGAAAGUUGGCAACACCCGAAGCUCGUGCCUAGGGAGCGGUCGAAGGUGGGGUUGGCGAUUGGGACGAAGUCGUAACAAGGUA
rnacentral:rRNA from 3 species